ensembl:lncRNA
CUGAAGGCAGAUGUCACCCUGGGCCACCUGCUCAGCUUGGAUCAAGUGGGGACCUAUCCAGGCAAUAAUGGCCAGGACCCUCACAGGCUGGAGCAGAGCUGGCAUGGCUGUGCUGCCACAGGACCCAGACAUACCCACGGCCUGGUGUCCAAUGGGCCCCAGAACUCAGGACAGAGCCCAAGGGGAACAUGUUAUCGCUUUAGCCUCAAAACUUUAACAAAUAGUGCUUCUUUGCCUCCGAAUAGAGGAAAUACUGACGUGGAAGCCUGGCGCUAGGGCGUCAGAGAGGGCGUCCCUCCAGUCAGCCGUGGACUCAACUCAACUCAAUUCUCCACAACGAACUGUUUUUGAGAACUAAGCGUGAGCCACGCUCUCUGGUAAGCAUCAGGCAACACAGCAGGAAGCAGGACCGGUUCCUGCCUCAGGAGCUUGUAAAAGCAAAGAAAUCGUUUCAGUCGGCCGGGUGCUGGGGACAGGUCCCGAGAGGAAGCAGCGCAGAUGGCUGAGAGAAAGAACUUGAUUUCUCAGUGGCGCUGGGGUGGGGUCUGGGGAGGGUGCACGUCUGUCCCCUGCCAGGGCUCUGAUGUCCACCCCCGGCCCCUGCGGCUGCUGCUGAGCCCGGAAAGGGACAACAAGUGGGUCUUGGGGCGGGCCCUUUGGGGCGGGGGAGGCCUCAGGUCCCCGUGCCAGGAGGGCCCCCUUAAGGAGCCUGUCGCAGAAGGCUGGUGGCCAUGGAUGCUUCUGAAGGAGCUGCAGGCCUGCCUCCCAGGCUGCUGGCUGCACCGCCAGGGCAGUCACCUCACGACCUGGGAGGACCGCCAGAGUGAGGGGCCGGAUUUGCCAGUGCCACCAGCUCUGCGUCUCCUCCAGCUUGGGCACCUGGUGAAGAGGAACAAGUUGGGCUCCGCGACGGGCUUCCUGGUGCUGGCUAGAAGGGGUGCUGUUCUCCAGCCAGCACUCCUGGUCCUCUGCGCAGUGGCAGUCCUGGGGAGGCACUGAGGUCCACGGGGCAGAGAGGCAGCUGUCCCUGUCCCACAGCCGGUGCCACGAGGGCUCGCAGAAAGUGGUCUGAGUGUUGGAUGCCUCUUCGGGCCGGGCCCCAUGUCCCUCCCACCCCCUUUCCUCUCCACCCUCUUCCACGAUGCUCUGACCCUCAGGGCCGAGCCAGUCCACCCCCCAAUCUUGUCCCCUGUUCUUAUCUGGGUCCCUAUCCCUCUGCCCUGUCCCUAUUCCAUCCACCAUCUCCUUAUUCCUGCCCCUCGUCUGUCCUGCUGUACCUCUGUCUGGGUUCCUCGGGCCCCUCCCUAUAUCCCUGUCUGUCUCUCUGACUUCCUCUCUUGCUGUCUGCCCCCGCCCCUCCUCUCUCUCCUCCUCCUCUCCCCAAACCCCAACAAGAGGCGACGGCAACCUUGGAGUAGGCUCUGCAGGCCGUCCUGGGGUUUGGCGGCCUGGAUGGGACUGGCAGUGGGGGCGGGUGCGCAGGGGAGCAGCAGCAGCAGGGGCGGCAGGACCAGCGGGCGCCACAUGGCUGGGAGGGCUGGGCAGCUGGGAGGGGGCGAGGGGUGCGGUCAGA